rnacentral:rRNA from 1 species
GACGAACGCUGGCGGCGUGCCUAAUACAUGCAAGUCGAACGCAGUGGGGACGGGUGAGUAACACGUGGGUAACCUCCCAUCAGAGGGGAUAACACUUGGAAACAGGUGCUAAACCGAUACUGAUGGAUGGACCCGCGGUGCAUUAGCUAGUUGGUGAGGUAACGGCUCACCAAGGCCACGAUGCAUAGUCGACCGGAGAGGGUGAUCGGCCACACUGGGACUGAGACACGGCCCAGACUCCUACGGGAGGCAGCAGUGGGGAAUCUUGCUCAAUGGACGCAAGCCUGACCGAGCAACGCCGCGUGAGUGAAGAAGGUUUUCGGAUCGUAAACCUCUGUUAUUAGAGAAGCGUUAUCUAACCAGAAAGCCACGGCUAACUACGUGCCAGCAGCCGCGGUAAUAC